CCCAAACACACACAGUAUUGGGAGGAAUCGGAGCAGAGGAACCAAGUUGACCUAGAGAAAUCAGUCACUUGUCCAAAAAGUCACCCUCAGGAUUCCUGCGCCCCCCCUCCAUGUGAUCAGCGCUCCUGUUUCUCUCUGGCACAGGCUGCUACCCGGGGUGGUACAGUCAUUUCCAUAGCAACCAAUUGUUCUGUCACAGAGACGUAAUUCUGACUCCAGGUGGGUUAUGAACAGAAGGAACAUAUAAAACCACUAAGUGACAGAGAUCUAGUUUUCUAGUAAGUGCCCCUGCUAAUAAAGAAGAGAAAAUGUACAAAGUAGAAGAUGGAUGGAGUAGGGGAGUGAACGCUAAAUUUUCCAUGAGGCAUCAGCUGUUUGCUGAAAACAACAGCAGCCUAAUAGGCUGGACAAGAAUGAUGCUGGCAGGGACAGGCAGAACAGCCUCUGUCAAUCUGCAGAUGAGGGCGAUGGCAGGGCCGGGCUGCACCAUGCCAGGCUGGGAGGCAGAAAGGAAGAGCUUCAAUGCAUCAUCUCGAUCCCGUCCACCUUCCGAAGGAUUUUCCUGGGCAUGGCUGUGCUGCUGCCUGUGUGACCUCAGCAGGACCUGACAGGGGCCCCGCUUCCCUCAGGCGUGUGUGCAUUCUUUCAAGGAGGGCUCAUCAAUGCUGGCUCGGGGUUCAUAGUCCAAGUACAAAGCUCAGUAAUAAGAAAUAACUGGGAGAAAAGUAAGGCUGAGUUGCGAGGUACUGUAGGAGCAAAGCAUAUUACUACUGUGAAGGCACAACUGAGGCGGUGCCUUUGUCAGAGAAUCGGAGUCCGCCACUCACACGGUACGACCCUGGGCAAGUCACUUCCCUGUCUUGGCCCUCACCUUGGAGAUGAGGCAGUUGGACUUCACGACCCCUACAUGCAAUGCCUACAGUAGUCUCUGGUUCCAAGUUCUCUCUGGUGCCGAGGCCUGCUUUAAGAGACUAAACUGUAAAUGAGAGCUUGAUUUGAUGUGCUAUUUUCAUAGAGCAGAAUCAAGACCAUUUGGUGACUCCUUCGCCAUUCAUUUCUACCUUUGAUUAACGUUGGUUGGCCACCUGCUCUGAGGCAAUCACAGAGCAGGCGUCAGGAAUGAAGGCAAGAAGUCGUGACACCUUUGGGGCCCUCACAGCUGUGUCGGGGAGACAGGCAGGCUCAUACGCAGACCCAUGGGUGCAGGUUGGCAUUUCUGUGUGGAGAGAGUGCACUGCCCGUGGAGAAGGGCGACCUUGGAUGUGGCCAGAGAGCUCUCUCCACUCCCCAGGCAUGGCUGGAAGGAAAGGCAGGAGGCCGCCUUGGAGGGGAGGACAGCGAGCUGCGUGGAGGGUGGUGCUGAGGAGGACUUAGUGCAGGGCAAUGCUGGUCUCCUCUGAAACCCCCAGAAAGAUCGGGAGAGGGUUAUAGACUGUGGGGCAGAGGCAAGCCUUGGCCAGGUAGACAGAAGUCCACCACCUGUCUGAAGCAUGUUCUCCGUGCUUCUCUACUUAAAAGAAUCACAGGCACUCUCGUGGCCUCUCCUAAAAGGUAACCAGUUAAUCCUUCAGUACAUGUUCACCAGAAACUACUCGGUAUUGUUUGUCAUGCUGUUAUCCAUGCCCUUGGGGAGCUGAGCAUACAGCUGGGAGUUCACAUAUGCAUGUGAUGUUUAUGUGAGCUGAGCAAUGCUCUAUGUAAGGGCUGAGCAAGGAGCACAAGCAGAGAGGAUUAGAGGGGCGAGGGAGAGAGAGAGACAGAAACAGAGACCAAAUCUUGGAACUGCCUGCUGAGGAAAUCUUCACGGGGAAAGCGGAAUUUGCAAGGGUCUUGCGGUGUAGAUAGGGAGAAAGAGGUCAGAACAAAGAUGUAUUUGGGAGACCGUGGAGAGACAAAGCUUCCAGAAGCUUCCAGUCAGUAGCUGCUACCAGAUGGCAAUCAUCUCAGAGGAAGCCUGGGCACCAGGGAAGGAGGACCUUUUCUGACCUUGGAAAUACACUUCAAUGUCAACCUAGGCCCAGGUUUGAAUCCUGGGUCUGCUGUUUAGUAGCUGUCAGGCCUGGUCAAACGCCUUACCUUCCAUAGGCCUAAAUUUCCUCAUCUAUAAGAUGGGAUUGGGAAUAAUGCUUAUCUCCAUGGGAUCCUCAUGGAGAGUACAGAACUAAAUGUGACAAGAGGGAAAACGCACAGCAUUUAGCUGGCCUCCAGGAAUCCUGGUCCCUUCCUUUGCUGACCCACCAAGAAAGCUGCUUUUGAGACUGCAAGGAAUAACUAUCCCAGAAGUCCUCUGCGUGCCCUUGCAGAGGCAAAUACACAGACUGAUCAGUGGGGAAAAAUAUGUUUCCUUCCAGCCUGUGGGGUGAGUUGUGGGGUGAGUUGACCAUGCACACUUUGUCUCCGGAUGUUUGACUUCCUGAGUCUUCCCCAAACAAUGCCAUCUCUGUCUUGGCACCACUGGCAAGCAGUCCCAUGAGAGCCAGGUUCUUGUCACAUGCCCUUUUCCUGGAGUGAGUCACUAGAGAAUGGGGCCGUAGUCAUAACCUUCAGCAGCUAAGGGAGGAGAAAGUGGAUUGGAAUGAACACAAACGCUGUUGGUUUGUUGGUGCACAGCAUUCUCUUCCAUCAACAUUUUGCCCCAGGCCUUAACCUUGCAAGUCAAAAAAGGAGGGUGGCAUAAUGAAUGAGAAGAACCGAGCACCCGCCUGUGAUCCACGAACAAAGGGCCUUUCAGCCGUCCACGGUCCAAAGUCUUAGCCACUGCAUCAAAUCUGGCCAGUUACAAAUUAGAGGAGAAUGGGGAGGGGGGGCCUGGUGAGACUUCUUAGCCCCCACAGAAUUGGAAAAGCCAUUUGGAUACUUCCCCAAGGAAAGAAGGUGACAGUGAACGGAGAAGGGGAAAAUCGAGACAACUGAUGGAAAGACACACAGAAUUUGAACUUUGAAAAUUGACUGCACGUCUUCCUUCUUUGGUUGUAUAAGUAUAAAAUAAUUUUAAGAGGCAAGCCUAGAAAUAAACACGCAAAUCCAUGUGUAAUGUCCAUGACCUCAUAUUCCUAAAACUUGAUGCGACCAUGGGAAUCGCUGGUGUCUUCAAUAAGGGCAGCUGGUGUGGGAGAGCAGAAAAAUAGCAGACUGGGAACUGGGACAGUCUAAGUGCCACCCUACACUCGGCUGUGUGACCUUGGGCAAGCCAGCUUGCUUCUCUGGGACUGAGGUUCCUCAACUGAGAAAUGAAUGGUUUCUCUAGACAAUUUAAAGUUUCCUUUCAACCUCCCUGCCCCCUCGCUGCCAAAAAAAAGCUUUGAUUUUCACGGCUACUUAGACUUUGAGCCUUAAAAAAAAAAAGGGAGAGAUGUCAGCAAGCCUUCCCAGCUCCACUGCAUCGCCCCCCACAGCCCCUCAAACACAAGCCCAGUGGGGCACCUCUUUUGUGGCAGCUCUGGACCUACAUACGGUUGUUCAUGCCGAGCACAAAUGUUUGCUCCCAGAGUGGUGGAAAUGGCCACCCCAGCUCUGUGACUUCCAGCAGGCUCAGUGGUCAUUCCAUGAGAUGCAUAAAGUCACAUCCAGUUCCCAGGUGUCCCUUUUCCAUGGAGAACUGGCUCUGUAAUUCAGUUCUACAGACAUGGUUUCCAUGUCUCUGAUGUGGCAGGCACUGAGGCUGGAGGCUACGAGGGAAUGAAGAUGAGCAAGCACGCAUGGCCCCAGCUCAGUGGACACUUACACUCCAGCAGAAAUACUUGUAGUCCGAGCAUCACAGAAGCAUAAGUCCAGUGACAACACUUGGGAGGGUGAGAGCAGUUCUGGUUUGGGGAAGGCUUCAUGGAUGAGGAAGCCUUUGACCUGAGCUUUGCGAGAUGGGCAGGAUUUAGAUACGCUGAGAUGGGAAGGGCGUGUGGACAGAGGGAAGAGAGGGAGCAAAGGCAGCGAGGCAGAAGAGCACAAGUCAUUGUCUAGGAGUGGCAAGCAGCCCUUUCUUGCUGGAGCUUCAAGUGUGUGAGGGAGAUGAGCUUAGAAACUCAGGCCGUGGCCUCUUCACAGAAGGUCCUCGGAAUGCUAAGGAAUUUGGACUUCGGGGCGGGGACUGGGAAACCACGGACGCCCCUGAGCAGGGAUGUGUCAUGGCGGGAACUGUACCUUAGGAGGAGUAAUCUGUCAGCAGGGUUGCCUGAAGGAGAGCAAAAGCGAAGGGAGAAAGAACACUGUGGGGAUGACUACACUGUUCCCGACUGGUGGUCAUGGAGGUCUGAGGUGCAGUGGGGAGACCAGGACUGGAAAGGAGGGAAACUGGGAAAGGUGUGCAGAGGCAACAGAGUGGGGCUCGUGCCUGAUGGGAUGUGGACACUGAAGUCACAUCGAGACAGAGAGACUGCUGCAGAAGAAAUCCAGCCACCCGCCCAGCCUGGACUCUCAUGGCAGCUUAUCCUCAGGGGUGGGAGGGUGUUGUCUGAAGUGCCCUGAGGUCAAGAAGUGCACCAGCUUAGGGAAGCUGACCUACUGUGCGUUACACCCCCAAUGUCUGCUCUUCCUGUCUUAAAAAUAGGAUUCCUAAUGCUUAGCUAGACCCAUGCCUCCCACCUCCAGUCUGAAUAAAGAUACUUCCCAC
rnacentral:lncRNA from 1 species